GGGGUAUAGCUCAGCUGGUAGAGCGCAUGCUUUGCAAGCAUGAAGUCGCCGGUUCGAAUCCGACUAUCUCC
rnacentral:tRNA from 1 species